rnacentral:RNase_P_RNA from 1 species
UGAGUAAGUCGGACAGUCGCGCCAACUUUAGUUGGUGAGGAAAGUCCGGGCUUCGCAGAGCAGGGUGCCGGCUAACGGCCGGUGGAGGCGACUCUAAGGAUAGUGCAACAGAAAUAGACCGCCAGUCUUUGGCUGGUAAGGAUGGAAAGGUGAGGUAAGAGCUCACCGCCGGGGCAGUAAUGUCACGGGUCCCUGUAAACCCCACCCGAAGCAAGACAAACUGAAACUAUGGGGCUGCUCGUUCCGUUUCGAAAAAGUCGCAUGAUGCCGCUGGCAACAGCGGACCAAGAUAGAUGGCUGUCUGAAAAACAGAACCCGGCUUACAGGCUUGCUCUCAUU